AUGUGGAUAUGAUAGCACUGGACACUUCGAGGCUCCAUUGGCAAAACAUGCGGCAAAUAGGAAACCAAGGGACCUUUGACAUUUAAGAAGUAUAUGCCCUAAGAUUUCUACAGAUCCUGAAAUUCAUCACUACGGCAGAAUCACGCAUCUUAUGGAUGGUGCUAAGUUUUUACAGUUGUCUUAGCCCCAGUGGUUCUCAAAGUGGGGUUCCUGGCCCAGCAGCAGCAUCCCGCUAGGAACUUCUUAGAAAUGCAAAGAAAACCAAGAAUAAAAUGACACCUGACAACCUUGCCAGCUCAGCACAUCUGGAGGCACUAAAUGUCUGACCCAGGAAAUGUGCAUCAAACUGACGG
rnacentral:lncRNA from 1 species